GACGAACGCUGGCGGCGUGCUUAACACAUGCCAGUCGAACGGAAAGGCCCUGCGUUUGUGGGGUUCUCGAGUGGCGAACGGGUGAGUAACACGUGAGUAACCUCCCCUUGACUUUGGGAUAACUUCAGGAAACUGGGGAUAAUACCGGAUAGGAGCUCCUGAUGCAUGGUGGGGGUUGGAAAGUUCCGGCGGUUGUGGAUGGACGGGCUGGUUAUCAGCUUGUUGGUGGGGUAGUGGCUGACCAAGCCUUUGACGGGUAGCCGGCCUGGGAGGGGGACCGGCCACAUUGGGACUACGAGACGGCCCAGACGCCUACGGGACGCAGCAGGCGAGAAUAUGACAGAAUGGGCGGGAGUCAGAGGCAGCAACGCCGCGUGCGGGAUAAUGUCCUUCGAGUGGUGAACCGAUUUCGCCUGUGACAAAGCGUUAGUGACGGUAAUGGGUAAAAAAGCACCGGCUAACUACGUG
rnacentral:rRNA from 1 species